rnacentral:rRNA from 1 species
UACGUAGGGUGCAAGCGUUAAUCGGAAUUACUGGGCGUAAAGCGUGCGCAGGCGGUUUUGUAAGUCUGUCGUGAAAUCCCCGGGCUCAACCUGGGAAUUGCGAUGGAGACUGCAAGGCUAGAAUCUGGCAGAGGGGGGUAGAAUUCCACGUGUGAGCAGUGAAAUGCGUAGAGAUGUGGAGGAACACCGAUGGCGAAAGGCAGCCCCCUGGGUCAAGAUUGACGCUCCAUGCAACGAAAGCGUGGG